CAUACUUGUACCCGACAGGGCCGGUUAAGAGAACUGCGCAUCAGAUGCGUGGCCAGAAAGUUCUUAUAUUUAUGGAUUCGAAUGACUUUUGGAAGAGUAUUUCCCUCUAAAGCCAGAUUUUACUAUGAGCAGCAAUUACUACGGAAGGUCUUCGAAGAAUGGAAAGAAGAGUGGUGGGUUUUCCAUCACGAGUGGAAACUCUGUGUUCGAGCUGACUGUCACUACAGGUAUUACCUGUAUAACCUGAUGUUCCAGACCUGGAAGACCUACGUGCGUCAGCAACAGGAGAUGAGGAACAAGUACAUUAGAGCUGAGCUUCAUGGUGAGAAAAAGAAGUCCAUGUCUGAAGAAGAUGCCCACAUUUACUUUGCAGAAGGUCAUAGGAAGGACAAACACAUUGUCUCAGAGAGAGAAUAACUCUAGGUCAAAGGAAGAUUUGUUUGAUUCUCUUACAUAUUUUUCAGAAAGUGUGAUCUCUGAGUGGGCACCUUUUUGUUUGAUUGCUAUGGUUUUCUCCAUAUGGCAUGGUUUGAGCCCUUAAAACUCAUUUAAUCAGAAUUUGCAUGAACUGGCUGUUCCUGGCCUGCUGGUUCAGUGGGCUGGCUGUGACUCUCCUGUGGCACCUGGGGCUGCCAUCUAUCUUGCUGUGUC
rnacentral:sRNA from 1 species